rnacentral:rRNA from 1 species
AGGGACUACAAGCAUUAGCUUAAAACCCAAAGGACUUGGCGGUGCUUUAGACCCACCUAGAGGAGCCUGUUCUAGAACCGAUAACCCCCGUUAAACCUCACCCUUUUUUGUUAACACCGCCUAUAUACCGCCGUCGUCAGCUUACCCCGUGAGGCUAAAAAGUAAACGAAAUUGGCACUGCCUAAAACGCCAGGUCGAGGUGUAGCGCAUAAAAGGGGAAGAAAUGGGCUACAUUUCCUAUAUAGGAAACUACGGACCGCAUAAUGAAAUAAAUGCAUGAAGGAGGAUUUAGCAGUAAGUAGAAAGCAGAGUGUUCCACUGAAGCCGGCCCUGAAGCGCGCACACACCGCCCGUCACUCUCCCCAAGCCCUCUUAAUAAUGUUAAUAACCACUAAAAAUAGCAAAGGGGAGGCAAGUCGUAACAUGGUAAGUGUACCGGAAGGUGCACUUGGAAAAAC